GAUUCACCGGCGGACGGGUGAGUAAUGCCUAUGAAUCUGCCUGGUAGUGAGGGACAACGUUUCGAAAGGAACGCUGUUACCGCUUACGUCCUACGGCAGAAAACCGGGGACCUUCAGGCCUUGCCCUCUCACAUGAGCCUGUGUCGGAUUAGCUUUAACGUGAGGGAGUGGCUCAGCUUCGCCACGAUCCCUAUCUGGUCUGAGAGGAUGAUCAUGACCACUGGAACUGAAACUCAGACCAGACUCCUACUGGAGGCAGCAGUGGGGAAUAUUGAACAAUGGGCGAAAGCCUGAUCCUGACAUGCCCCGUGUGUGAAGAAGGUCUUCGGAUUGUAAAUGACUUUAACUUGGGAGGAAGGGGAAGGAGCUAAUACCUUGCUGUUUUGACGUUGCCGACAGAAUAAGAACCGGCUAACUCUGUGCCCGUGCCCGCGGUAAUACAGAGGGUGCAAGCGUUAAUCGGAAUUACUGUUACGUAAAGCGCGCGUAGGUGGUUCGUUAAGUUGGAUGUGAAAGCCCCGCGCUCAACCUGGCAACUGCAUCUGCAUAC
rnacentral:rRNA from 1 species